rnacentral:rRNA from 1 species
UACGGGGGGGGCAAGCGUUGUUCGGAAUUACUGGGCGUAAAGGGCUCGUAGGCGGCCAACUAAGUCAGACGUGAAAUCCCUCGGCUUAACCGGGGAACUGCGUCUGAUACUGGAUGGCUUGAAUUUGGGAGAGGGAUGCGGAAUUCCAGGUGUAGCGGUGAAAUGCGUAGAUAUCUGGAGGAACACCGGUGGCGAAGGCGGCAUCCUGGACCAACACUGACGCUGAGGAGCGAAAGCCAGGGGAGCAAACGGG